UCUUAGAGGAUUUCUCUGUCUCAAUGAAGUAAUAAUAAAGGCGGCUGACCACAGUCUGGGCUAGCGCCAACUGCGCGGGGGGGGAGGGGGAGGAAUAUCCCUGCUCCCAGAGUCCUGAGGAGAGGAGGAAGAGCGGAGGAUUGUUGCAGCACAAGUUCUUGCUCUUGGUGAAAAAAUCUCUCUUCUCUGGAAAUUCAUUUCCAUUUACUUAAACGGUUUGACUUUGAAUUUUCAUUAUCUGCUGUUGGAAGGAGCCUGUGACAGCCCAUGUAAGUGUUCCUAAACCAAGAUAAUUUUCAGAAGCAGCUAUCAGUGUUUCCUGGAAAUAUAGUAAGAAGAUGCAGCUUAAGGUUUUUGACUCCUGGACAACCUUCUCUACAUGUCCUGCCUCUAAUUCAGAAGGAGCAGAAGUCAAACAUGCUAUUUCUCUUAAUUCCUUUUUGAUGAACAAAUCCCAGUCAAUUACACAUACAGAGGGAAAAAAAAAAAAAAAAAAAAAAAAAAAAAGCACACUAAGCUUUUUCUCAGAGCACUUUCAGACAAGCCUGAUAUAAUACAGGUUAGCCUCUUCUCCUUAAGCUACUAACAGUACUUUGUUGAUUCAUUCAGCAGUGAACAUGAAACAAAAAUUCACAAGACCACGCAUACCCAUUUCCUUCCUUACUUUCCAGGUUGGAAGUCCCAGCCAGCACUAAAACCAACACCGUACUAAGUGUGGUUCUCUUUGCAGCAGAGCAUUAAUCAGCACAGUUUAAAGCUGUACUAGAUCCUUAAAGCCAAGCUUCUCCAAAGUUUUCUGCUUUAUAGUAAGAGCAUUAUUUUUUCAUUCACCUAAUAACAAGUGUUUUUGCAUAGCAUGAUCCCAGGUGGGCAGCCACACAAAUCUGGGACUCUCCAAGCAGUUUCUGAAACAUUAAGUAUAUAUGAGAGUCAUAAAUAAAUACUUUCAGUGAUCUUAGUGUUUGUUGGUUCAUUUUUUCAAAAAGAAUCAACAUUUGUAAGAAAAUGUGUCAGAAGCCUGAAUGCAGACUAGCCUCUGAAAAUAUACCCUUGUCUAGGUACAGGAAUCUCUAAGAGGGUACCAUUCUUAUUUAUGGUUACUAUUUUGCAGUUUUAGUUCUCACUGUUAAGCUGAUUGUCCAAAUUCCUUCCUGCCUUUUCUUAAUCAAUAAAUUCAAGUAUUGAGCAUACUCUCAGGAGAUCUUCAAACAUCUCAAAUCUCAUUCUUUCCAUUUCAGACUUCUCUUGGGUUAAAAGCAAACAAGCAAGCAAGCCUUUCUGUAGCAGUUAUGCACGGUCUAUCAGAAACCUUAGAGAGAGAGCUUUAUUCCCUUCAAAGUUACACCUUCAUCCACAGUAUUUGCACUUCAGACAUUACUAUCCAUACAAUUGCAGCCACUGAGUAGAACAGAAUAAAGCAUUUAACCAAGUACCCUUGCUUUUCACUCUUCAGACUUGGGGUUUUCAUUUCUACAAAAAAGGAAAGUGAUCAGAGAUAAUUUUAGUCCAUUUUGACAGGAAGGGUAGCUCAGACUGGUCAUAAAUUCUGCCAAAUUCAAAACAUGAUAAACUGUAGGCGUCAGUUUCUUUUGUGUUUUGUUUGGUAUUAUUUUUUAUUUGGAAAUAAGUCUUUUCACAACUUAAAAGUAUACUUUUACUUAUCAGAAAGUGGUUUGGACAGUAAUUUCUGUUUGAAUAAAAUUAAUGCCUUUACUGUAUUCACCAGAAUUAUCUCCCAAAAAGCUACUUAACAUUCUCUUGCAUUUUUCACUUUUCACUGUUAGAUUUUUUUCACUGUUAGCAACAUAGGGGAUGAAGAACUUCUGGACUCUGAAGGAAGUUGCCUACUCAUCAGUAUAAUCUUUUUUAAAAUGUUAUGGAAUUUAACCAUUGUUGUGUGAUUACUCUUUUAAAGCAAUAUAUCUUUAGCUAUAGUGCUUAUAACAUGGGUAGAUAUGAAUAUACUUAAGAAAAUUAUAACUUCUUAGUUCAAAAUCUAUUAAAUAGGCUUUAUUGUACAUUUCUUGUUUUUAUUGUAAGACUUACUCAUUUGUCUUUAUUCGACAUCCAGUAAUAUGUCUGUAUUUGCUUUAUCUUAAAAAAAAAAAAAAAAAAGUUGACUUAUUUACUAGCCUCUUGAUGGUAUUGGUAAGUGAAAGUGAGCAUUUGCUAAGGGUGUCACCUUUGUCUCCAUAGCAGUGGACCUUAUUCAGAAGAAAAAGCAAGAGAACCCCUUCAGCCAAAUUAUUAUUUCUUCUGACAUGGAUCUUUUAUUCCAGGGAAAAUCUCCUACAGGUUUUCAGGUUUAUUUCAUUUGAUAUAGAUUUUGCCUUUUCAGUUUGGAACAAAAAAGUAUCAGAGUUCAUACAAGUAGAUGUUAAAAAAAAUAGCAACAAUAUCUGCACAAUGAAAGAGUUUUAGUUGCAAGUUUUCAAUUUCUGCAACAAUUUUCUGGAAAAGGGGUUUUGUUUCAAAGCAUGUAGUAUCAUGGGAAGUUUUAUCAUUAGUAAUAACAGUAAAAAUACUUCAUUUAACUGGACUAAAAAUCAAUAUUUCUCCCUAAAAUAAUUAAACCAUAUGUAAAUAAGAACUAUCAUAAAGGUACACAUAAAGGUACAAAUAAUUCAGAAACCUGGGGGGAUUGGGGGAGGGGGGGAAUAGCCAGACCAGAUAGCAGUAGUUUUUCAAAUUCUCAAAUUCAAUAACUGAAUUAAUUAGAAACAGUUUAUUUUGUCUUGAAAAAUGUUGUUAACAGUCCAUGGUAUUUUCUGGUAUCAGUUCAAUAACUUAUUUUCUAUAUCUGGUCUUUCACUGUAUGUCAAAGUACAACUCCAUUUAUCUACAAUGUAUUGUAAUUAAUUACUGUUUCUGAAGCUGAACUUUUGAUUCCAGUGAGUUUUACUCAACUCUUUUGAGCUCGUGCAGAAAGACAAGGGGUGAAGAUCUGCAUAAUAAGGAAAACACUAUAUGCAAAAGAAUCUUGAAUUAAUAAAAUGACUAAAGCUGAAUGUA